rnacentral:rRNA from 1 species
AGAGUUUGAUCCUGGCUCAGGAUGAACGCUAGCGGCAGGCUUAACACAUGCAAGUCGAGGGGCAGCGCGGGAUAGCAAUAUUCUGGCGGCGACCGGCGGAAGGGUGCGUAACGCGUGAGCGACAUGCCCGUUGCCCGGGGACAACCGGUGGAAACGCCGACUAAUCCCCGAUGGGAUACGAUGCUUCAUGGCAUUGUAUUGAAAGUUACGGCGGCGACGGAUUGGCUCGCGUCCGAUUAGCUUGUUGGCGGGGUAACGGCCCACCAAGGCGACGAUCGGUAGGGGUUCUGAGAGGAAGGUCCCCCACAAUGGAACUGAGACACGGUCCAUACUCCUACGGGAGGCAGCAGUGAGGAAUAUUGGUCAAUGGGCGGAAGCCUGAACCAGCCAUGCCGCGUGCGGGAAGACGGCCCUAUGGGCUGUAAACCGCUUUUGCCUGGGGGCAAUAAGGGCGCCGAGCGCGUCCGAUGAGAGUACCAGGCGAAUAAGCAUCGGCUAACUCCGUGCCAGCAGCCGCGGUAAUACGGGGGAUGCGAGCGUUAUCCGGAUUCAUUGGGUUUAAAGGGUGCGUAGGCUGUGCGUCAAGUCAGGGGUGAAAUUCCGGUGCUCAACGCCGGGGCUGCCCUUGAUACUGUCGCGCUGGAGUGCGGAUGCCGCCGGAGGAAUGAGUGGUGUAGCGGUGAAAUGCUUAGAUAUCACGAAGAACUCCGAUUGCGAAGGCAGCCUACUAAACUGCCACUGACAUUGAUGCUCGAAAGUGUGGGUAUCAAACAGGAUUAGAUACCCUGGUAGUCCACACGGUAAACGAUGAAUACUCGCUGUUUGCGAUAUACAGCAAGCGGCCAAGCGAAAGCGUUAAGUAUUCCACCUGGGGAGUACGCCGGCAACGGUGAAACUCAAAGGAAUUGACGGGGGCCCGCACAAGCGGAGGAACAUGUGGUUUAAUUCGAUGAUACGCGAGGAACCUUACCCGGGCUUGAAUUGCACUCGAAUAUAGCGGAAACGUUAUAGCUAGCAAUAGCGAGUGUGAAGGUGCUGCAUGGUUGUCGUCAGCUCGUGCCGUGAGGUGUCGGCUUAAGUGCCAUAACGAGCGCAACCCUUGUCUAUAGUUACUAACAGGUCAUGCUGAGGACUCUAUGGAGACCGCCAUCGUAAGAUGUGAGGAAGGUGGGGAUGACGUCAAAUCAGCACGGCCCUUACGUCCGGGGCCACACACGUGUUACAAUGGGGGGUACAGAGGGCCGCUACCACGCAAGUGGAUGCCAAUCCCGAAAGCCUCUCUCAGUUCGGACUGGAGUCUGCAACCCGACUCCACGAAGCUGGAUUCGCUAGUAAUCGCGCAUCAGCCAUGGCGCGGUGAAUACGUUCCCGGGCCUUGCACACACCGCCCGUCAAG